rnacentral:miRNA from 1 species
CGCCCGUGCCCUGGGAGC